rnacentral:rRNA from 1 species
GAUGAACGCUGGCUACAGGCUUAACACAUGCAAGUCGUGGGGAAACGGCAUUAUGUGCUUGCACAUUCUGGACGUCGACCGGCGCACGGGUGAGUAUCGCGUAUCCAACCUGCCCCUUACUUGGGGAUACCCCGUUGAAAGACGGCCUAAUACCCGAUGUGUUUCAUUGACGGCAUCCGAUAUGAAACAAAGGUUUUUCCGGUAAGGGAUGGGGAUGCGUCUGAUUAGCUUGUUGGCGGGGCAACGGCCCACCAAGGCGACGAUCAGUAGGGGUUCUGAGAGGAAGGUCCCCCACAUUGGAACUGAGACACGGUCCAAACUCCUACGGGAGGCAGCAGUGAGGAAUAUUGGUCAAUGGACGCAAGUCUGAACCAGCCAAGUAGCGUGCAGGAUGACGGCCCUAUGGGUUGUAAACUGCUUUUAUGUGGGAAUAAAUUGGCGCACGUGUGCGCCAUUG